rnacentral:lncRNA from 1 species
UAACCAUGCUGUUUGGAGAGAAGAAAACCACCUGGAAUUCUUGUUCUCCAAAGAUGUGGAAUUAUCAUCCCAACAACAGCUGUCCUUCACUCUGUCCGGGGGCCUUCAGGUGGAGAGAGGAGGGGAUCCAAUUGCCUGUGAGGAGGACACGGCUCAUGGGUGGACCCUGCAGAUUGUGAAGUUCAAGUCACAGCUCCUGGGAAGGUCUCUGUGUGUAAAGAUUGUGGGGGCGAGAUAGAUUCAGGGACCACACUCUGCUCUGCUCUAUAUCUCUGAGUGUCGAUCCAGCUGCCUUGUGACCAGGACACUUGGAAGAACCAUGGACCCUGCAAGAGGGCAGGUUCAGAGAGUGAGAUGAGCACGCUUGAGGGAUUAAAGUGUAACUUGAACCACUGCCUUGCAAACUGCGUGAGGGCAUGCAGGUGUGUGUCUGUGCGUGUGUGUGCUGGGAAGAUGUUUAGCAGCCUCAUGGAGGGGUAACUGACAUACAAGAGAACAAGCCAGGCAUGGUGGCUCACGCCGUAAUCCCAGCACUUUGGGAGGCCGAGGUGGGUGAAUCACCUGAGGUCAGGAGUUCGAGACCAGCCUGACCAACACAGUGAAACCGCAUCUCUACUAAAACUACAAAAAAUUAGCCAGGCAUGGUGGCGGGCACCUGUAAUCCCAGCUACUCUGGAGGCUGAGGCGGGAGAAUCACUUGAACCCAGGAGGUGGAGGUUGCAGUGAGCCGAGAUCGUGCCACUGCACUCCAGCCUGGGCAACAAGAGCGAAACUCCAUCUCAAAAAAAACAAAUUUUUUUGAUCAAUGUUAACACACGUACGCACCCGCAAAACCAUGACCAGGAGCAUCACGACUCCCAAAGCUUCCUCAUGAUUCUUUGGAAUCCCUCCCUACAGCCCCUCCCACCCCCCCCCAUCCCAAGCAGCCACUGAUUUGCUUUCUGUCACAGUCAGUAGAUUUGCAAUUUCCUUAAUACCAUGUCUGAGCCCAGUAGGCAAAUACUUUCUUUUUAUUGGGUGGACAUUUCGUGGCAUGUUCAAGCUUUUGAAUUCAGAGAGUGAGAGGAUGAGAAAGAAAAGGCUGGUCUGGGUCACUCCUGGGAGGCCUGGCCCUAAGCACCGUGUGGCUCAUGUGCCCUGGAGCCCCUGUGCACCGGUCAUCCCUGACUGCCCUGCCGCAAGCUUUAUAGCUCCCCCAUCACCUUUCCCGGACCAGCUGGUACAAUCUCAAACUUUUCACCAAUUCUGACAUCUAAACAACUAACGCCAGAGACAGGCUCUGUGGGACCAGCAGCUGCGACCUCACCUCCGGUCACUGGAACACUGAGCUGUUAAAUGAAAGACCUCUGAAUAAGUCGUGGGAGCCCUCGGGUCCUGCAGACCACAAGGGAGGAGCGACUGAUGUUCACUUUGGAGACGCGGGCUUCUGAUUGCACCCUUGCCCCAGGCCCCGUGAACUCCAGGAAAGGAUCUUCCAGGGACACAGACAACAGAACAAAAUACUUGUUUGUCUUCAAGGACUUCAGGGUCUUCAGCAUGUUCAAACCCACAGGUGCCUUCGGGGACCAAGAGGCAGAGAGAUGGGAGGAGCGGCUGGGUGGGGCCCGGGCAGAGCGGAGGACACAGGUGUGAAUUUGUGCGCAGCCGCUGCUCCCUCCGGCCAGCCGUGGCCAAGUGGACAUUCGGACCCAGAGCGGCCAGAUCUUGUAAUUUCCAAGAAAGCCAGAAACCCAGAUUUUUAUAUAAAAUUUCUGAAAUGUUGAAAGUUGGCAACUAAUUGUCUUUUUUUUUCCUUUGAGUCGGAGUCUCGCUCCGUCGCCCAGGCUGGAGUGCAGUGGCACAAUCUCGGCUCACUGCAAGCUCCGCCUCCCGGGUUCACACCAUUCUCCUGCCUCAGCCUCCCGGGUAGCUGGGACUACAGGCGCCCGCCACCACGCCCUGCUAAUUUUUUUGUAUUUUUAGUAGAGACGGGGUUUCACUGUGUUAGCCGGGAUGGUCUCGAUCUCCUGACCUCGUGAUCCGCCCAUCUCGGCCUCCCAAAGUACUGGGAUUACAGGCGUGAGCCACCGCGCCUGGCCGGCAGCUAUUUAUCUUAACAAAACAAAUCUGUGAGGCUAAACAGAAGACCCCCAGGCUGGGUUCAGGCUAUGGGUGCCAGUGUGCAGCCUCUGGUCUCGAGGGAGAGCCAGACACAUACAUCAUUACAACAUGAGCUGAUGUGGGGUUACAAGGUGCCCUGGGAGCAGAGAGAAAGAAGGGCCUGAUAAUCACAGCUUCCCUUUCCUGAGAACUUGCAGGUACCGGGGGGUCUACACACCACGGCUUCACGUAAUCCACUUGGCAACCUCACAAGGGCAGAGGAGCGUACAGACCAGGAAGGCAGAGGAGGGGCUGUCUUGAAAUGCACCUGGGACUUUGUUUUCCUCAGCUCUGGUCAGAUGACAGCCUGGGAGACACUGCCUUUGAAUGAAGAGUUGAUGACUUUCCAGCAUGGGGAAGCACCAGGUCAGUCCCGAGGCAGAAGGAGCAAGGGGAGGGCCCAGGCUGGGCCUUCACUGGGGUCUCUGUGGGAAGGAAUAGAUGAGGGUGGAGGUGAGCUUGAGCAAGCUUCGGGUGGCCCCGUUUGCCUAAUGUUGGCAGGCCCGGAGCUAUGGCAUGGUCCCUAGUCAUCCAGUACCAUGCUCUGGAGUGAGAUGGGGCAGGGAGAAUAUUUCCUGGGUGUGUGAGUUAGAUAAAGGGUGUGGUGGGGGCAGGGGCUUCUGACUGCUGGUUUGCAUAGGGAGGUAUGUGCUGUCUCCAGAACUAGCCAGCCCUGGGAGGGGCAGUCCCUUCCCCGCCAGCAAAGCCUCCUGCGAUGCCAAAGCGCCAUAGAACACAGAAACCAGAAAGCGUGGUUAAUCCAGGAGCCACACGAGGACUGAUGCCUUCCAUAUCGGUGUCCUGUAUGUGCUCUGCCGUAUUCUACCUCCUCUUUUUAAAAUGCAAAUAGAGAAUCCAAUCUGAAGAAAUAAUGCAAAGAAACUCUUUUUGUUGUUGUUUGUUUGAGACAGUCUCGCUCGGUCGCCCAGGCUCUAGUGCAAUGGUGCGAUCUCGGCUCACUGCAACCUCUGUCUCCUGGGUUCAAGCGAUUCUUCUGCCUCAGCCUCCCGAGUACCUGGGACUACAGGCACGUGCCACCACGCCUGGCUAAUUUUUGUAUUUUUAGUAGAGAUGGGGUUUCACCAUUUUGGUCAGGCUGGUCUCAAACUCCUGACUUUGUGAUCUGCCCGCCUCGGCCUCUCAAAGUGCUGGGAUUACAGGCGUGAGUCACCACGUCCGACCGCAAAGGAACUCCUUAGCGCUCCUCAACCACCUCCCUGCCCCUCGCUGUCUUUCUUUCUUUUUUUUUUUUUUUUUUGAGAGGAAGUCUCGCUCUGUCGCCCAGGCUGGAGUGCAGUGGCACCAUCUUGGCUCUCUGCAAGCUCCGCCUCCCAGGAUCACGCCAUUCUCCUGCCUCAGCCUCCCUAGUAGCUAGGACUACAGGCGCCCACCACCAAGCCUGGCUAAUUUUUUGUAUUUUUAGUAGAGACGGGGUUUCACUGUGUUAGCCAGGAUGGUCUCCAUCUCCUGACCUCGUCCACCCGCCUUGGUCUCCCAAAGUGCUGGGAUUACAGGCGUGAGUCACUGCGCUCGGCCUCGCUGUCUUUCUGGUAUCAGCAUCCGCCUCCUCCUCCCUCCCAGACUCCAGGCCCUGGGCUCCAGGCACGGUCCAUCCCUGUGGCCUCAAGGCACUGGGCACAUCCAUGCCAGUUUUAGUCUCUGUAACUACACAGCCAUGCAGCUGUGAGCUGAGAAUUUAACACACUGUCCCUUUCAGUGUCUGUUUCUCCUUCACUUUCCUGUAGCAAAGCAAAAAGGAGGGAAAAUGCAUCCCAGGUGCCGCCAGCUGCCACUGUUUUUCUUUGUGUGGUGUGUGUGACAGAGUCUUACUUUGUUGCCCAGCCUGGAGUAAAGUGGAGUGAUCCCGGCUCGCUGCAACCUCCGCCUCCUGGGUUCAAGCAAUUCUCCUGCCUCAGCCUCCUGAGUAGCUGGGAUUACAGGCACAUGCCACUACAUCUGGCUAAUUUUUGUAUUUUGAGUAGAGACGGGAUUUCACCUUGUUGGCCAGGCUGGUGUCGAACUCCUGACCUCAAGUCAUCCACCUGCCUCAGCCUCCCAAAGUGUUGAGAUUACAGGUGUGAGCCACUGUGCCUGCCCUGCUGCCAUGCUUUCAAGCCACUGUUAGGCUUUUCCACAUCCCCCAGCAUGCACCCACUCUCCCGGGAUGGUUAGGGGGCUCCAUCACCAUUUUCUGGAAACUGCCUCUAGUCAGAGGUUGCCUGGGGCUCUCCACACAAUCAUGGAGACGUAGAGGACACAGCCUGAUGCUAGACUGCACAGGACCCUCUUCCGCCAGAUUCCCUGGACACCUCCAUCCCCUCUUCUAGCAAUCAUGUCAGUGCACGGUAGCGCCUGUGUCCUAAGGUUCCCAUGCCACAAGGCUUGAACCCUUCACCCCUGUCUCCCGAGGCCAGGAUCAAGCCUGCUUGGCCCAGGGGAGGGGGCGAUAAAUGUCAUGGUUGGAAGCAUCAGGUGGGAGAGGGCUUAGUGUGGGGUCGUCAGAGUGACACUGAGAGGCUAAGACACACUGUCUGACACAGCCCAGCCAGGCGCUGCCCACAGCUGAGUUUCCAAAGGACACGUUCUGUGUCACCAUAUUCCAGGAUUCAAAUCCUUCCAGCCUGGGACAAGUUCCACGGGGUGCCAUGAGGCUGCCCCAAUUUGAUUUUGAAAUGUACAGUGAAAUGCCUACCUUGGUGGUGGCCAAGGCAGGGUGGGCCCAGAUGCCCCUGCUGAUGGACACACAGGCACGACACCCACAGUUCAGGGAGCCCGCUCCAGCCUGCCGUGGAGCCCUGGGCCAGGUCGUGAGCCAUGAGCCUGCUCGGGACAGUCCUUCCCGAUCCUGGAAGGGAGCGGCCCAAUUAUAACGGCUCCCUCGAGGCUCUCAGUGGAGCCGAGCCCAGAGAGGAGGCCUGCACUGCCAGAUGGGCAAACUCAUUAGGACUGUGGCAUUUUUUAUGCAAACGAAGGCAAAUACAUCCAUGGGAGAAAUGUAAACAGCAGACACGCACAAGAGCACGGACUUCACCGGGUUUCAAGAGGAGAGGGAGCUGGGACAGGAGGCCAGGAGAGAUCCCCACCCCCAGCACUGCCCUGCAGUGGCCUAGCCCAGGCCUUCUGGAUCUGCCUACCUGGGAUGCCCAAGAGGGAAACUGAGGCCCCACGAGCCCUGCACGUGGGCGGAGCCUGGCCUGACCUGUAGCUCCUUGGGAGGCUGAGGGAGAAGCAUUGCUUGAGGCCAGGAGUUUGAGACCAGCCUGGACAACACAGUUAAACCCCAUCUGUACAAAACACUAAAAAAUUAACCAGGCAUGGUGGCGCAUGCCUGUGGUCCCAGCUAUUCAGGAAGCUGAGAUGGGAGGAUCACUUGAGCCCAUGACUUAGAGGUUAUGGUGAGCUGUGAUCGUGCCACUGCACUCUAGCCUGGGCAACAGGGUAAGAUCCUGUCUUUUAAAAUAAAUAACAUACAAUAAUAUAAAAUAAAUAAAAAUUAUAAUAAAAAUGACUGUAGCGAGAACUCUUAAGGAGAGUCAAGAAGAUAUUGCAAAGAAACAAUAUGAAAAAACCAAUCUCUUUAAGGGUUCUUCUCAUUACAGUUUUUUUUUUUCUGAUUCUGUCUUGUUUCUUCACUGGCCAACCCCGCUCUGAUGCUUAGCUUGGGUCCCUGCCGCUCAAGCUACUAUGUCCUUCCCAUCAGUGCUGCUCAGUGUAGUCUUGGACCCAUGGCAUUCUGGCAUCCCCUGGGUGCCUGUUGGAAAUGCAGAUUCUUAGGCCCUGCCCCAGACCUCCUGACUCAAAUCUCUGAGGUGGAGCCCAGGACUGCAUAUGUUCCAGCUCCCCAGGGGAUUCUGUUGAGACCCGGCCUCUAUUCUCGGUGGCCUGGCUUUUCCUGCUUCUGUUGGGGGUGAGGCCCCUCCAGACUGAGCUGGUCAGGAUCUAGGCUCUUGGCAGCCUGCAUGAGGCAGGAGGCAAGUCCCUCUCUCGGGGAAGGCAGUGGCAGGUAAGCAAUGGCAGGUGAGUCGGCCAACAAGGCCCUUGCCACUGAGCUGUCCUAUGGAGAAGCCCCGUGCCUUUUUCUCAGGGCGCUCUGCGGGUGUGCCUGGGGUCGGACUGAGCCCCAGCAAUCUCCCUGCAUGUCAGUUACUGCUCUUACUUUCACUGUGGUCCCCGUGGGCUUUUUCAAGGCUCUGUCCUGGCCCAGGGAAAGGUGGACCAUGAGACCUCACAGCCAGAAAGAAGCAGCAGCCAACUGAGUUUCCGAAUGGAUUUGAAGAGCUCACAGCAGAGGAGAUACCAGUUUGAAAAUCAAGAUGUGUUUGAUUUGCUUUGGCCAUCAAGAGACACAUCCUGAAGGACUCUGUCUCAACAUUUUUCUACAUAAAAAAAGAGUGGGGAAGAAUGCAGGUUGGUGGGAGCUGGGAGAUAAGGUCCACAGGCCAGGAGAGGGCCCCCAGGCUGGGUCGUGUGAGGCAGUGUCCAUCUGAGAAGGAAAGUCUGCUGGCUGCAGGGUCCCAGCACCCAGGAGCUAGAGGAGAGGGGGUGGGAGGGAGAGCAGCUACGUGUCCCUGGGUUUCUUGAGCGAGGACUGAUAAACCCCAGGGGCACGUGUAGCUGCCACAAAAGCAUGCACCUCGAGUGCUUCCCCCUCCUAGCUGGCGGGAGAGGAAGGGACCAGGAUGGAGGCGAGCUUGGCAAAGUCUUUCUGGAAUCAGCAUCCUCCUCCUCCUCCUUCCCAGACUCCGGGCCCCAGGCUCCAAGCACAGUCCAUCCCUGCGGAGGACUUCCGUGGAUGCUGGUGGGCACAGAUGCCAGCCCAUCAUGUGCUACUCAGGCAGAUGCUAGGGAGCCAGGGGCCAGUCAUCGUUCUCCCUGAUGCCAGGGCACCACUCUGAGGAAAGGGAGAGAAGGACAGGUUGGUCUAAAUCCACCUGCAGGAUCUGAGUGACCGUACAUGGGGCUGGGGGCUGAAAUUUUCUGAGAGGGACUGGAUUACAUUUUCAGAAAUUGGAAUCAGAAAUUAAAACUGUGUUAUGAAAAAUAAUGAGUUACAUUUUGCACAUGUGAUGUUUGAGCCGGAUAAUUUGUGUUUGCCGCCUUUAUACUUGAAUGUGAAAGCACCUUGCACAGCACUUGGCAUAAAGUCAGUGCCCAGUGAUUACUAGUGAAUGCCUUCCUAACUGUGUACAUGGCCUGAAUGCACACGAACACACGAUGGAAACAGUCAGGGAGUGGAGAGGGUGUCCUGCUGAUUACUAGUGAAUGCCUUCCUAACUGUGCGUGGUCUGAAUGCACACAAACACAAGAUGGAAACAGUCAGGGAGCGGAGAUGGUGCCCCGCUGAUGCUGUCCUAUUAUUUUUAUUCAGAAGUCUGUUUGCCUUUUUACACAUUUUUGAUCCUACCAUAUAAACGAUUUUUAUAACAUUCAUGUUAUGUUACAUUCACAUUUAUUGCUAAUUUUUAUAACAUUAGUACAAGAUGAUUGAAUUCCUCCUUGGUCAGAAGACCCACGUCUGAAUCCUGGAUCCACUACUUGUUAGUUGAAGCAAGCAACUGUGCCUCUCAGUCUGUGAAAAGGAGGCAAUGCCUAGCUCAGGAGGCUGACAGGAUGAAGUCGGAGAGGAAUGAAUGGAAGUCUCUUGGGACUCAGGCCUGCCUGAUACUUUCUGGGCAGCUUAAAAUAUGUUUUCUGAAUGUUAAGGGAAGCACAGAGCAGGCAUGCAUGCAGAUGGGGGUGAAAUAUUACUUCCAUUCUUCCAUGUGUGAGUCCUAAACACACACCACCUCCCCCACACACAAACAGACCUACAACACAUGCCACACGUAACACAGGCACAGGCACACGCACACGCACCGCAGCAACACACACUGCACGCACACACAACACAGACUGUAACACAUACACACGUAUACCACCUACCACACUACACAAGGCCCCACAUUCACAUGAUACACAUGUACCACAUGCACAUAUAUGACCCGCAUCACCAACAAACACACGUGCAUCAUGUGUACACAUACACAUCAUAGGUACACAUCACAUGCACACAUGGCCCACAGGAACACACACAUAUGCCACAUACUGCAUGCAUGCACAUCCACAACACACGCAAUACAGGCACAUACAAGCCAUAUGUAGACACUGCGUGCACACACAUUUACACCACACUACAUGCACACACCAUAUUCACACAUACUUGCACACACACCACUGAUACACAUACUUCCACACAUGUCCGCAGCCUGCAUGCACAAACCAUAUUAUGCACACACACCCCAUAUACUAUUAGGUUGGUGCAAAAGUAAUCGCAGCUUUUGCCAUUACUUUCAAUAGCAAAAACUGCGAUUACUUUUUUUUUUUGAGACACAGUCUUACUCUGUCGCCCAGGCUGGAGUGCAAUGGGGUGAUCUCAGCUCACCGCAGCCUCUGCCUCUGGGGUUCAAGUGAUUCUCCUGCCUCAGCCUCCCCAGUAGCUGGGAUUACAGGUGUGCGCCACCACUCCUGGCUAAUUUUUGUAUUUUUAGUAGAGACGGGGUUUCACCAUGUUGGCCAGGCUGGUCUUGAACUCCUGACCUCAGGUGAUCUGCACACCUCGGCUUCCCAAAGUGCUGGGAUUACAGGCGUGAGCCACCAUGCCCAGACAAAAACCGUGAUUACUUUUGCACCAACCUGAUACGUGUGCACAGACAAGUUCGGUAAGCAGGCAUUGCAAUAAUUAAAGAUGACACGAGGUGGCACCAUGACACUUUUACUCAGAAAUUUUAUUUGCCUAUUUUUAUACAGUUGUGAUUAUACUCUAUAUUAGUAGUUCUCAAAGUGUAGCCAAAACUAUUUUCAUAAUAAUGGUAAGAUGUGAUUUGCCUUUUUUCAUUCUUAUUCUCCCAUGAGUAUACAGUGGAAUUUUCCAGAGAUGCUGUGAUGUGUGACAUUGUAACAGAUUGAAGGCAAAAGCAGAUCUGAGAAUCAGCUCAGACAUCUACCUAGAGAUUUGCCAGCGGCAAUGCAACUCACUAAUUUUGCAGAAGAUAUUGUUGCUUUCCAUACAAAAUUAUUUAUUGUUAACAUACAACAAUGGGUUUGUUGUUUUUAAUUUAAAAAAUUGAGCAAUUUGAAUUCUUUUUAAAGCUUAUUUUUAAUUGAAAAUGAAAUUAUUUAACGUGUACAACAUGAUGUUUUGAAAUAUGUAGACACUGUGGAAUCAUUACUAUUUUAAAAUAAGUAAAUAUUUCAAAACCUCCUCAAAUUUAAUCUGUAUUACAGUAAAAUUGAUAGAUGCAAUUCACGUAAAGUUCCUUAGGGUCCACAGGAGAUUUUCAGAGUAUAAAGCUAUCCUGAGAAAGAAUAUUUAACAAUCACUCUUCUAUAUGUAAUCACAUGUCCACAAAUACUUUUGAGGUUAAUCAUUUAUUUUAAAUUUAUAAGGAACCAACAAGAACAAAGAAAAGGAAAACACUUGUAAUCCUAUUGCAUGGGGACAAGAGACAAUCACGACUGACAUUUGCCAGGUUUUCUCCUAGUUGUGUUUCAGAGCAUCUGUUUCCAGGUUAGUGUGUUCUGAAUACAGGCUCUGUGUCCUACGCUCUGAAUAUGAGCCCCGCGUCCUAGCCUCUGGGUAUAAGCCUUGUGUCCUAGGUUCUGGGUAUAAGCCCCGGGUCCUAGGUUCUGCAUAUAAACCUUGUGUCCUAGGCUCUGGGUAUAAGCCUUGCUUCCUAGGCCCUGGGUAUAAGCCUAGGGUCCUAGACUCUGGGUAUAAGCCCCGGGUUCUAGGCUCUGGGUGUAAGCCCCGCCUCCUAGGCUCUAGGUGUAAGGCCUGGGUCCUAGGCUCUGGGUAGAAGCCCCGGGUCCUAGGCUCUGGAUACAAGCCUUGUGUCCUAGGCUCUGGGUAUAAACCUUCUGUCCUAGGUUCUGGGUAUAAGCCUUGUGUCCUAUUCUCUGGUUCUCAGCCCCUUGUCCUAGGCUCUGGGUAUAAAUCUUGUGUCCUAGACCUUGGGUUAAACCCCAUGUCCUAGGCUCCGGGUAUAAGCCCUGUGUCCUUUCUGCAUAUAAGCCUUGUGUUUCCUAGGCUCUGGGUAUAAGCCCCAUGUCCUAGGCUUUGAGUAUAAGCCCCAUGUCCUAGGCUCUGGGUAUAAACCUUGUGUCCUAGGCUCUGAGUAUAAGCCCCACGUCCUUUCUGGGUAUAAGCCUUGUGUCCUAGGCUCUGGGUAUAAGCCCCAUGUCCUAAUCCCUGGGUAUAAGCCCCGGGUUCUAGGCCCUGAAUAUAAGUUCUGUGUCCUUUCUGGUUAUAAGCCUUGUGUCCUAGUCUCUGGGUAUAAGCCCCAUGUCCUAGGCCCUGGUUAUAAGCCCCGAGUUCCAGGCCCUGGGUGUAAGUUCUGUGUUCUUUCUAGGUAUUAGCCUUGUGUCCUAGGCCCUGGGCAUAAACCUGUGUCCUAGGCCCUGGGUAUAUGCCCCAGGUUUUAGGCCGUGGGUAUAAGCCCCAAGUCCUAGGCUCUGGAUAGAAGCCCUGGGUUCUUGGUCCUGGGUAUGAGCCCCAUAUCCUAGGUCACCAACCAGAUUGAGAGCCCAGUCAAAGUUCUUUCUCAUGGUGUGUCUAGGACGUCAGAAAACCUAGAGAUGUGGCCGGACUCUGAGCCCCCUGAAAAGGGUUCCCAGACCUUUUGUGAGAGGGAGGCUUUGUCUGCCCAGAGCCCACCUAGUCUUGGAGUCUUGGAAGGCUGCCCGGCACCUCAGGUAGGCCUGUUUGCACCUCAGCCUCACCCUGGUCUGGGUAUCCACUCCAUACAGACAUGUUUUUAAAAAUUGAGGAAUAGCUUUGUGCAGUGGCAGUAUCAUAGCCAAUGAGGUUUAUCCGAGGCGUGAUUAUUGCUAAUUGAAAAAUUGAGGAAUAGUUUAGUAAAACACACAGAUCUUAAAUAUAUAAUUCAAUGGCUUUUUACAAAUAUCUAUCUGUAGCCAACACCCCAAUCAAGGCAGAAAACAUUGCCACCAUUGUAGAAAAUUCCCCCCAAUCCCUUUACAGUCUACUCAACUUCCCUUGUCCCCUAAUCCCCAAGCAGCCACUAUUCUGAUUUGCAUUCCAGAAAAGUAGUUUUUCUGGAUUUUUUUUUAACUGACUUUCGCUCUUGUCGCCCAGGCUCGAGUGCAGUGGCGCAAUCCUGACUCACUGCAACUUCCACCUCCUAGGUUCAAUCAAUUCUCCUGCCUCAGCCUCCCAAGUAGCUGGGAUUAGAGGCGUGCACCACCACGCCUGACUAAUUUUUGUAUUUUUAGUAGAGACGGGGUUUCACCAUGUUGACCAGGCUGGUCUUGAACUUCUGACCUCGGGUAAUCCGCCCACCUCUGCCUCCCAAAGUGCUGGGAUUACAGGUGUGAGCCACCGUGCCCAGCCUGGUUUUGAAUUUAAUAAAUCUGUAUGACAUCCUUUGUAUGGCUCCUUCAGUUCAAAACACUGUGUUUUUGUUGUUGUUGUUGUAGAGAUGGAGUCUUGAUCCAUUGCCCAGCCUGCUUUCAAACUCCUGGGCUCAAGCAAUCCUCUGCUCUUGGCCUCCCAAGUGUUGGGACUGCAGGUGUGAGUCAUCGCACCAGCCAGAGUCCAAUCGUGUCUCUAGUGAGAGCAGCCACUUUAAUAUAAAGGCUCAGGAAUUCCUCCUCAUGUUUGCUGCAGUGGCACUUGCCCUCUGAGUAUCAGUUAGCUAUUGUCACACUUAUGCUGUGUAACAAACCAUCCCCACAUCUCAGUGGCAAACAGUAAUAAUCAUUUAUUUCUUACUCAUGAGUUUGUGGGUUGGCUGGGCAGCUCUGCUCCACAUGCCUCUCAUCCUCUUCCUGGGACCAGCAGGGGCAGUUUCGUCUCUGGCUGAUGGCAGGGCCCUGAGAGACGGCACAUCUAACCCCACAAACACAUUUCCAGUUUUGC